AAUUUCUCAUACUUGGCACAGAAAUGUUUGUAGCAGGAAUCAAGAGCCAUGAGGUAGCAUGUUUGAGAAAGUUUGCCGUCCACAACCUAAAAUAGCAGUCAUCAGCAUAUGCAAAAGAUAGUGUAAUAAAAUGAAUAAGCUACAUCCAAGAAUCAUAGCAAAAGACAGUGAACAAGGAUGGAUUUUUUUCACCUUUCAAUUAGAUUCAAGUAAUUGUGUUGGUUCAGCUUAGCACCUUCCUGAUAAGGAGAUCUGGAUACUAUCCAAAACCUCAGGUCUUUUCUAUUAUUAUGAUUUUGGGGAAUAUGAAAUGGCUUAUAAAAAAUUCUGAACACAUAUAUUUGGUUGGCAGCUUGACGCUAACAUCAUAUAUGUUGUAACUCCUAAGUACUCUAGCUAUUUUUGUAAUUUGCAGGUGUUGUAUCCAUAUUGAUAAAACAGAAUCACAUGCAACACAUUAAAGAGGAAAGAAAAUAAGUCAAUCACAUGGAAAACCCUGCUCACUCAUGUUUCAUGCACUUAAUUUACAAUUUCAUCAACGUCUACUACAGUCACCUGAUGACUGGGAAUCGCUGGAGACAUAUAUUCACAAUUUAGCUAAAUGCCUAUCUAUACUACAAAACAGAAACUCGUGGGUUUAAUAGCACACAAGCAAAUAAUAAUAAAUUCCUACUUAGACCACCCCUCCCCCCUCUCCUCCUAAAAAAAAAGGGCAAACGAUGACAACUCUGAGGAGAACAAUAUUUGUAGUAGCAAAACAAGAAAUAUGCAGACGGAAUUGGGAUGGAUUACUGGAUAUUCGCUAGCCAGGUUGGGCUUGUAAAAAUCGUAAGCAUGAGACAUAUGGCUCCCCCUAAAUUUGCUUUCAAAAGCAAUAGGUGC
rnacentral:misc_RNA from 1 species